UACGUAGGGGGCUAGCGUUGCUCGGAAUCACUGGGCGUAAAGCGCACGUAGGCGGUUUGCUAAGUCAGGGGUGAAAUCCUGGAGCUCAACUCCAGAACUGCCUUUGAUACUGGCGACCUUGAGUCCGGGAGAGGUGAGUGGAACUGCGAGUGUAGAGGUGAAAUUCGUAGAUAUUCGCAAGAACACCAGUGGCGAAGGCGGCUCACUGGCCCGGUACUGACGCUGAGGUGCGAAAGCGUGGGGAGCAAACAGG
rnacentral:rRNA from 1 species